rnacentral:rRNA from 1 species
GUAACGGACUGAGGGGACUCUGGGUCCACCUCCCACCCGUGUUUACCGUACCUUGUUGCUUCGGCGGGCCCGCCUCACGGCCGCCGGGGGGCUUCUGCCCUCUGGCCCGCGCCCGCCGAAGACACCAUUGAACGCUGUCUGAAGAUUGCAGUCUGAGCAAUUAGCUAAAUAAGUUAAAACUUUCAACAACGGAUCUCUUGGUUCCGGCAUCGAUGAAGAACGCAGCGAAAUGCGAUACGUAAUGUGAAUUGCAGAAUUCAGUGAAUCAUCGAGUCUUUGAACGCACAUUGCGCCCCCUGGUAUUCCGGGGGGCAUGCCUGUCCGAGCGUCAUUGCUGCCCUCAAGCACGGCUUGUGUGUUGGGCCUCCGUCCUCCUCCCGGGGGACGGGCCCGAAAGGCAGCGGCGGCACCGCGUCCGGUCCUCGAGCGUAUGGGGCUUCGUCACCCGCUCUUGUAGGCCCGGCCGGCGCUUGCCGACACAUCAAUCUUUUUUCCAGGUUGACCUCGGAUCAGGUAGGGAUACCCGCUGAACUUAAGCAUAUCAAA